ACCGCACAAGCGUGGAUGAUGUGGUUUAAUUCGAUGCAACGCGAAAACUUACCACCUUUGACAUGUACGAACUCGCCAGAGAUGGCUUGGUGCUCGAAAGAGAACCGUAACACAGGUGCUGCAUGGCUGUCGUCAGCUCGUGUCGUGAGAUGUUGGGUUAAGUCCCGCAACGAGCGCAACCCUUGUCAUUAGUUGCUACAUUUAGUUGGGCACUCUAAUGAGACUGCCGGUGACAAGCCGGAGGAAGGUGGGGAUGACGUCAAGUCCUCAUGGCCCUUAUAGGUGGGGCUACACACGUCAUACAAUGGCUGGUACAGAGGGUUGCCAACCCGCGAGGGGGAGCUAAUCCCAUAAAACCAGUCGUAGUCCGGAUCGCAGUCUGCAACUCGACUGCGUGAAGUCGGAAUCGCUAGUAAUCGCGGAUCAGAAUGUCGCGGUGAAUACGUUCCCGGGUCUU
rnacentral:rRNA from 1 species